CUAAAUUAAACUGUUAUUUCUCUGUCUGACUCUACGCAGCCAUUUGCCAAAAAACCUAAAUAAGAUAUUUUUCCCAUUUUAUUUCCCCUUUGUUCGUUAUUUGGUUCAGUUUAAUCAGAGCUACCUUGUGUUACGUUGUUCCCUUGUUAGUUUGGUAUAAAGUUAAACUGCUAGCUAAAAGUUUUAACCAAGAAGGAUAAUAUUAACAGGAGAUAUGAAUGAAUGUAAGAAUUGAACCAUGAUAAAACGCGACAUGCACUACAAAUUGAAGGUAUGAAAUUAAGUUAAAUGAAAGCUCGUUUAUUCACCAUAUGAUGCUCGUUAUGAGGUAAUCAUAUAGGCUAGAUACCGUGAGUUAACGAGGUCGUUUACAUGCACGUGAGUGCACGGAUAUCGGUUAAUUAUUCAAAUUACUGAAAAACACGGAGAAAACCGCAACCGCAUCGUCAUGUGUUUUUUUUUUUUUAGAUGUAUGCAAACAGGGAAAAUAUCGCCAAACCAACAAUUCAUUUUACCUCAGAAUAUGCACAGAUUGGAUGCGUGUGUUGUAAGCUUUUCGUGGCGCUAGAUGUCAGACAGAUGCAAAUAGCAAAUACAUACGAAAGUGUAAAACGUGUAUGGCGAACAUUUGUUUUUCUGUCAUUAUAGAUGCUAGUUUGGUGAAAGUACACACUGAGUGCUUCAAAUCAUUCAGAAGAGAUGCUGUUUUUAUGGCAGUUUAUUAAAGAAGACCUGACAUGGAUGACUUCCAAUGAGAAACGACUGCUAAUACUUAUAUAAAUUCAUUACAGAAGGACCCUACCAGACUAUAUUUGAAUACGGCAUACCCAUGAAUUCUGAACUGUUAUUCCUUAACCCAGUUUGGAGGAUAAGAGCUUACCAACUAUAAAUAUGCUGAGGUGAUGUAUUGCAAAAUAGCCAACAUACAACAAUGAAAGGAUAAUUGCAGACUACAUCCUGAUGAAGAUAUGGAUGACCCUCUGUCUGGUCAACAAUAGUUUAAAUAUGGACGGGACAGUUAUGUGGCAGCUCUUCCCUGACUCAUUCACCUCUUGCCUUCAUUUGUGAAAGGAAGAAAGACUGGAGAGGGUCAAUGUGCAACUGAAGCUACUGAUUGUGCUGUGUGAUGAGCAUCAAUCCAUGCUUUGAGGGGGAUGAAUCAGCACAGCCCUGCCUGCUCUGCGUUGGGAACAAAAGUUGCAUCCAGAAUUUUUGCAUCAUUCUGGACCAAAAAGCCAUUCCCUCCAUGAUGAAGACCACUGAUGCAGCCUCCCACUACUGUACAGUAAAACAACUACAGAACUAAAUACCAGGUUGGAACGUGUUUAAGAAAAAUGAAACGUCUUUUGAAUUGAAAUGUCUGUUUUGUUAUGGAAAAAUCUUUAGUAUUGUGAAGGAUAAGCAUUUCUGCUUGCCGAUAAGGUAAUUGCAUGUAUUUUAAUGUUCAAGUUUUGAGUAGGGUGGCUAAUUUUUUUAACUCUUAUUUGAUUUAUUAAAGACCUUUAUAAUAAGUGGUUUUCAUGUCACUGCGCUGUGGUAUAAGAUAACUUUCAUUAUUCCAUACUGUAUUCUGUUUCUAAUUGUAGCUGAGGUAUUUAAAUAAGCAGUGUUAAAUGCAAAGUGUUGUGUGUAUCAAUGUAAAUAUUAAAUGUGAUUUACUUUAAUAAAAAGAGGUUUUGCAAUA